AACAGUGUUUGAGGCUGGUCACACUGCCAGUGGCACUUUGAGCCUGAGGGCAGCCAAGGAGAUAAAGGCUCACUUUAACUACAAUUUAAACUGAGUCAUGCAGCGACAUUAUCAAGAAAAACACAGACACAAAAGGUUUUAUAAAACACUCAUGACACUGAAUAUUUCUAAUAAUAUAUUUCUAAUAUUGCAGCUUUAGCCACAAAGGCGUUCCUAUGAACCAGCAUGUAAGCAGAGCCAAACAUGUCAAGCCAUGUGCUUCCUAUUUGGAUCUGUUCAUUGGAACAUUUUCAGCAGCAGGAUGGGGCAGAGCAGAUUGGACAGGCAGCUGCUUGUGUCAUCUGUCAGUGUUUUAGGGCGGAUUAGAGGUGAAAUGCUACAGCUGACAGUUCCCCUGGCUGCCUGGACACCACACAGAUACCAGGCCCUUUAAUGGAUGUAAACCCCAUGCCAGCAAAUGGAGACGGAAUCAUAUGGUACUUCCCUCUGAUGCCUGCAGAUGUCAGCAACAGUACAGAAAUCGAACUGUACUGUAACAGUUUGUAGUGGAUGAGAUGCUGUUGCAGUUGCACGACAGAUUGAUCAAAUAGAGCCGUCUUAUUGGAUGUUAAAAAUAUAUACUCAGGGUUGUUACACAAAAAAGAAAUGAGUUUCAAAAAAUGUUCCACAAGUUUUCCAUGUUGUUUUAUCCUUUUUCCAUAACAUAGUCAGGCCUAUAUUGCAAUCAUAGGGCACAAUAAUGAGCCUCUAUGUGAUAAUGUAACAUUUGAACAUUUUUGCAUCUUCAGCUGACCGACUAAUAUAACGAAGGCCACAAGAGCAAUUCUCUGAAAAUAAGUAAUUCAAGAAACUAAUUUCUAGAAAUAGGCAAGUAACUAAGUUACCUGCAAGUCACCUCCCAGUCAGUCAGACAGUCUGACUCUACUUCUGCCUUUAAUUGAAAUUUAAACUGUAAGUUUACUGUUUAUUCUUUGAUUUAUUUAGGCUGUGUUUCUAUAACCUUGUCCUCACAGUGGUUGGAAUUCAGCCCUGAGACUAAUUUGUUAUUUGACUAUAUAAAUAUAAUUGCCUUAACCUGGCUCCUAUUGACUUUUAA